rnacentral:rRNA from 1 species
GGUUAAGCGACUAAGCGUACACGGUGGAUGCCCUGGCAGUCAGAGGCGAUGAAGGACGUGCUAAUCUGCGAUAAGCGCCGGUAAGGUGAUAUGAACCGUUAUAACCGGCGAUUUCCGAAUGGGGAAACCCAGUGUGACUCGUCACACUAUCAUUAACUGAAUCCAUAGGUUAAUGAGGCGAACCGGGGGAACUGAAACAUCUAAGUACCCCGAGGAAAAGAAAUCAACCGAGAUUCCCCCAGUAGCGGCGAGCGAACGGGGAGGAGCCCAGAGCCUGAAUCAGCAUGUGUGUUAGUGGAAGCGUCUGGAAAGGCGCGCGAUACAGGGUGACAGCCCCGUACACAAAAGCGCAUGUGCUGUGAGCUCGAUGAGUAGGGCGGGACACGUGGUAUCCUGUCUGAAUAUGGGGGGACCAUCCUCCAAGGCUAAAUACUCCUGACUGACCGAUAGUGAACCAGUACCGUGAGGGAAAGGCGAAAAGAACCCCGGCGAGGGGAGUGAAAAAGAACCUGAAACCGUGUACGUACAAGCAGUGGGAGCACCCUUUGGGGUGUGACUGCGUACCUUUUGUAUAAUGGGUCAGCGACUUAUAUUCUGUAGCAAGGUUAACCGAAUAGGGGAGCCGGAGGGAAACCGAGUCUUAACCGGGCGUUAAGUUGCAGGGUAUAGACCCGAAACCCGGUGAUCUAGCCAUGGGCAGGUUGAAGGUUGGGUAACACUAACUGGAGGACCGAACCGACUAAUGUUGAAAAAUUAGCGGAUGACCUGUGGCUGGGGGUGAAAGGCCAAUCAAACCGGGAGAUAGCUGGUUCUCCCCGAAAGCUAUUUAGGUAGCGCCUCGUGAACUCAUCUCCGGGGGUAGAGCACUGUUUCGGCUAGGGGGCCAUCCCGGCUUACCAACCCGAUGCAAACUGCGAAUACCGGAGAAUGUUAUCACGGGAGACACACGGCGGGUGCUAACGUCCGUCGUGAAGAGGGAAACAACCCAGACCGCCAGCUAAGGUCCCAAAGUCAUGGUUAAGUGGGAAACGAUGUGGGAAGGCCCAGACAGCCAGGAUGUUGGCUUAGAAGCAGCCAUCAUUUAAAGAAAGCGUAAUAGCUCACUGGUCGAGUCGGCCUGCGCGGAAGAUGUAACGGGGCUAAACCAUGCACCGAAGCUGCGGCAGCGACGCUGAUGCGUUGUUGGGUAGGGGAGCGUUCUGUAAGCCUGUGAAGGUGGCCUGUGAGGGUUGCUGGAGGUAUCAGAAGUGCGAAUGCUGACAUAAGUAACGAUAAAGCGGGUGAAAAGCCCGCUCGCCGGAAGACCAAGGGUUCCUGUCCAACGUUAAUCGGGGCAGGGUGAGUCGACCCCUAAGGCGAGGCCGAAAGGCGUAGUCGAUGGGAAACGGGUUAAUAUUCCCGUACUUGGUGUUACUGCGAAGGGGGGACGGAGAAGGCUAUGUUGGCCGGGCGACGGUUGUCCCGGUUUAAGCGUGUAGGUGUGUGUUCCAGGUAAAUCCGGUUCACUUUAACACUGAGGCGUGAUGACGAGGCACUACGGUGCUGAAGCAACAAAUGCCCUGCUUCCAGGAAAAGCCUCUAAGCAUCAGGUAACAUCAAAUCGUACCCCAAACCGACACAGGUGGUCAGGUAGAGAAUACCAAGGCGCUUGAGAGAACUCGGGUGAAGGAACUAGGCAAAAUGGUGCCGUAACUUCGGGAGAAGGCACGCUGACACGUAGGUGAAGUGAUUUACUCAUGGAGCUGAAGUCAGUCGAAGAUACCAGCUGGCUGCAACUGUUUAUUAAAAACACAGCACUGUGCAAACACGAAAGUGGACGUAUACGGUGUGACGCCUGCCCGGUGCCGGAAGGUUAAUUGAUGGGGUCAGCGCAAGCGAAGCUCCUGAUCGAAGCCCCGGUAAACGGCGGCCGUAACUAUAACGGUCCUAAGGUAGCGAAAUUCCUUGUCGGGUAAGUUCCGACCUGCACGAAUGGCGUAAUGAUGGCCAGGCUGUCUCCACCCGAGACUCAGUGAAAUUGAACUCGCUGUGAAGAUGCAGUGUACCCGCGGCAAGACGGAAAGACCCCGUGAACCUUUACUAUAGCUUGACACUGAACAUUGAGCCUUGAUGUGUAGGAUAGGUGGGAGGCUUUGAAGUGUGG